UACGAGAGGCCCAAACGUUAUUCGGAAUUACUGGGCUUAAAGAGUUCGUAGGCGGCAUUGUAAGUAGGGUGUGAAAGCCCUCGGCUCAACCGAGGAAUUGCGCUCUAAACUGCAGUGCUCGAGGAACCUAGAGGUGAGCAGAACAGAUGGUGGAGCGGUGAAAUGCGUUGAUAUCAUCUGGAAUACCGGAGGCGAAGGCGGCUCACUGGGGGUUUUCUGACGCUGAGGAACGAAAGCCAGGGUAGCGAACGGG
rnacentral:rRNA from 1 species